rnacentral:rRNA from 1 species
AUUGAACGCUGGCGGCAGGCCUAACACAUGCAAGUCGAGCGAGCGGCGGACGGGUGAGUAAUGUAUGGGGACUGCCCGAUAGAGGGGGAUAACUACUGGAAACGGUGGCUAAUACCGCAUACUAUCGGAUAACCCAUAUGGGAUUCGCUAGUAGGUGGGGUAAAGGCUCACCUAGGCUACGAUCUCUAGCUGGUCUGAGAGGAUGCUAAGCCACACGGGGACGGAGACAAGGCCCAGACUCCGACGGAGGAAGCAGGGGGGAAUAUGGCACAAUGGGCGCAAGCCUGAUGCAGACAUGCCGCGUGUAUGAAGAAGGCCUUAGGGUUGUAAAGUACGUUCAGCGGGGAGGCGUUACCCGCAGAAGAAGCACCGGCUAACUCCGUGCCAGCAGCCGCGGUAAUUC